UUACGUUUAAAAAAACAUUUAUCGCAAAAAAACAUUUAUCAUCGGAAAUGUCAAAGGACACAAUUUGUCAAUAAAUAAAAGUCAGCGAUCCGCGGAUCGGUCACAUACAAGCUUGCAGAACUCGAGAAAACAACAAUCGCUUCAAGAUAUCGAAUAAAAAAAUGUCGAAAAUAAUUUUAUUGUUAUCAAUUUUCGUAUUGGUUAUCUAUCCUGGUGUAUAUGCAGCAUGUCCUGGCGGUUGGUGCCAUCCAUCUCAAGGAUAUGGCUGUUGUGAAGGACAUACAUGCAGUAGCUAUCUGCUUCAAGGUAAAUGCAUAACAAAUCAAGAAGCCCUAGCAGUUUCAUUCGGAAGAUAAUUACAACAAUACAAUGAAGAUUUAUAAUUGUAUCUUAUGAAUUAAUAAAAAUCUCUCAUUUACCACAAAAAA